rnacentral:tRNA from 4 species
CGGAGUGUGGCGCAGCUUGGUAGCGCAUCUGGUUUGGGACCAGAGGGUCGAGAGUUCGAAUCUCUCCACUCCGACCA